AGCUGGUCCGAAAGUAGUGAGUUUUCUCAAUCGAUUAAUUACAGAUCAAUCUCCUUGUUCUACUCUCUCCUCCCUUCUCACUACUGCACUUGACUAAUCCGAA
rnacentral:Y_RNA from 1 species